rnacentral:rRNA from 1 species
CGCGUAGGCGGCGGACCUUGUCGAGUGUGAAAGCCCCGGGCUCAACCUGGGAGGUGCGCUCGAGACGGGUUUGCUGGAGUUCGGGAGAGGAGAGUGGAAUUCCCAGUGUAGAGGUGAAAUUCGUAGAUAUUGGGAAGAACACCGGUGGCGAAGGCGGCUCUCUGGACCGAGACUGACGCUGAGGCGCGAAAGCGUGGGGAGCAAACAGGAUUAGAUACCCUGGUAGUCCACGCUGUAAACGAUGUGUGCUAGACGUUGGGGAGCGCAGCUCUUCGGUGUCGCCGCAAACGCUUUAAGCACACCGCCUGGGGAGUACGGCCGUAAGGUUAAA